rnacentral:rRNA from 1 species
AUGAAGAAGACCGCCGCGGUCCCGAGGAGCGGCGUCCAGCACCUAUUGAAUGGGGGCGACGAGCCGACGAGGUCAAGCUGGCCAGAGCUCGCAGCGUCGUGGCCGAGGGCUGCCAGAUCUGCGGGCCAACAAGAUGGAGACGGGAGUCAAAAGGACAUUUUCGUGUCAGGAGGAAAAGCUAAGGGGCUGGGUGAUGUUGCUGGACCAGGGAGAGAGAUGAGGGUGGAACUGCGCGCCGGAUCGACGGGCGAUGGCGGGAUUGGCGCAUGGUGGCGGACUGGCGGGGAUGGGGGAAAGAGAAGGAGCGGCGUGGGAGGUUUCAUCAGAGGGAAAAGGGGGUGA